CCUACGGGUGGCAGCAGUGGGGAAUAUUGGACAAUGGGGGGAACCCUGAUCCAGUGACGCCGCGUGAGUGAAGAAGGAUUUCGGUAUGUAAAGCUCUAUCAGCAGGGAAGAAAAUGACGGUACCUGACUUAGAAGCCGCGGCUAACUACGUGCCAGCAGCCGCGGUAAUAAGUAGGGGGCAAGCGUUAUCCGGAUUUACUGGGGGUAAAGGGAGCGUAGACGGUGCAGCAAGUCUGAUGUGAAAGGUCGGGGGCCAACCCCGGGAGUGCAUUGGGAACUGGUUAACCGGAGUAGAGGGGAGGUAAGCGGAAGUCCGAGGGGAGCGGUGAAAUGCGUAGAUAUUAGGAGGAACACCAGGGGCGAAGGCGGCUUACUGGACUGUAACUUACGGUGAGGCUCGAAAGCGUGGGGAGCAAACAGGAGUAGAUACCCCGAGUAGUC
rnacentral:rRNA from 1 species